UACGGGGGGGGCAAGCGUUGUUCGGAAUUACUGGGCGUAAAGGGUUUGUAGGUGGCCGAUUAAGUCAUACGUGAAAUCCCUCAGCUUAACUUCGAAACUGCAUUCGAUACUGCCGUGCUUGAGGACUGGAGAGGAGACUGGAAUUUACGGUGUAGCGGUGAAAUGCGUAGAUAUCGUAAGGAAGACCAGUGGCGAAGGCGGGUCUCUGGACAGUUCCUGACGCUGAGGCACGAAGGCCAGGGGAGCAAACGGG
rnacentral:rRNA from 1 species